rnacentral:rRNA from 1 species
CCUACGGGGGGCUGCAGUGGGGAAUCUUGCACAAUGGACGAAAGUCUGAUGCAGCGACGCCGCGUGAGCGAUGAAGCCCUUCGGGGUGUAAAGCUCUUUCGACAGGAACGAUAAUGACGGUACCUGGAGAAGAAGCUGCGGCUAACUACGUGCCAGCAGCCGCGGUAAUACGUAGGCAGCAAGCGUUGUUCGGAAUUACUGGGCGUAAAGCGUGCGUAGGCGGUGGCUCAAGUUUGGUGUGAAAUCUCCCGGCUCAACUGGGAGGGUGCGCCGAA